rnacentral:rRNA from 1 species
GAUGAACGCUGGCGGCGUGCCUAACACAUGCAAGUCGAGCGAGAAGGUUAUGAUGGAUUCUUCGGAUGACAGAUUAAUUGGAAAGCGGCGGACGGUGAGUAACGCGUGGGUAACCUGCCCCAUACACAGGGAUAGCCAUUGGAACGAUGAUUAUACCUGAUAUACAUAUGAAUCGCAUGAUUUGAAUGUACAAGAUUUAUCGGUAUGGGAUGGACCCGCGUCUGAUUAGCUAGUUGGUAAGGUAAUGGCUUACCAAGGCGACGAUCAGUAGCCGACCUGAGAGGGUGAUCGGACCACACUGGAACUGAGACACGGUCCAGACU